UUCAAUGUUUAAUAUAGCCAAAGCAUUUAGAUGAUCAUUAUUUAUAACCGAUCUAGAUUAUCUUAUCCUUCUUAGAAUUGAAAAUGAUAAUUUCAAAAAAUAAUUUGUUGCUAAGGUACACAAAAAUAUUUUGAGUCAACAUAGAUUAAAUCGUUUAGAUUGUAUCAUUAUACUUAGAUUCCAAAUAUUUUUUGGGGCUAUAUCUUUGAGAGAUUUAAUAUGACUUUGGAAAUAUACAC